rnacentral:lncRNA from 1 species
UGAGAUUCUUAGUGAGUUUCUCUAGAAAAAAGCUCACUUUCAGGAGGCCUGUUUCGGCUUUGUGGAGAGGGACUAAAACACAUGUUCUAGUGUAAGUUGCAUUUUCUUUGGAAAUUGGGGCCAUGUGCAGCUUCUUUUUACUCUUGAUAUCAUACAUAUGGAAUAAAAUUCUAUUGUUGAGAGUGUUUGCUAUACUGACGCAUAGAUAUCAAUUGGUUUCACUAAAAGAAGAUGUUGACUAGAGGAGACAUCAAGAAGGUUGGUCUAGACCGAAGGAAGUAUUGAAAUCUGAACUCAAGGAUAUGAAAAUAAACACGGGCUAAGGGUCCGACAUCUUUGAUGAUAUUUUUUCGCACAAAAAAUUAUGGGCAUGUAAAGAGUUUGCCAAUAUGUUCCUAAAACUAGAUAUGUGAAUAUUAUAAACCAUUGGCAUGACUGUUAUUUCGAAGAUAGUGACAAAUGCACAUAGGAGUAUAACCCACAAUGCUUGUGUAACCUUCAUAUGAGAAAGAUACUUCUUGAUAAACUCGUGAUUGAUAUUACAUGAGUUGUAAAUCUCUGGAAAAUCCAGAACAAUUCUCAAACUAGAAUUGAGUGGCCAUGGAGAUGAUAAGAACGAGGAUGAAGUUUUAGAAAUUGAUGGAGAAGAGGUGCAUUGGGAUGUUGAGUUUGAAAUUUAUUUAAGAACUGAACAUGAUUAAGGUGCAACUUGGAUCAUGUUCUUUUAGCUUAAUAUAGUUU